GACGAACGCUGGCGGCGUGCUUAACACAUGCAAGUCGAACGGAAAGGCCCUGCUUUUGUGGGGUGCUCGAGUGGCGAACGGGUGAGUAACACGUGAGUAACCUGCCCUUGACUUUGGGAUAACUUCAGGAAACUGGGGCUAAUACCGGAUAGGGGCUCCUGCUGCAUGGUGGGGGUUGGAAAGUUUCGGCGGUUGGGGAUGGACUCGCGGCUUAUCAGCUUGUUGGUGGGGUAGUGGCUUACCAAGGCUUUGACGGGUAGCCGGCCUGAGAGGGUGACCGGCCACAUUGGGACGGAGAUACGGCCCAGACUCCUACGGGAGGCAGCAGUGGGGAAUAUUGCACAAUGGGCGGAAGCCUGAUGCAGCAACGCCGCGUGCGGGAUGACGGCCUUCGGGUUGUAAACCGCUUUCGCCUGUGACGAAGCGUGAGUGACGGUAAUGGGUAAAGAAGCACCGGCUAACUACGUG
rnacentral:rRNA from 1 species